rnacentral:misc_RNA from 1 species
CCGAGUCGUCGACACGAGUUGUUGCUGGCCUUCAAGCGGAGGCACGUGCACGCUCUGUUUGCACAUCCAUCCACCCCUGUGCACCUUUUGUAGUUCUACGGUCUGGAGGCUCCGCUUCCCUUCCGCGGUUCUACGUCUUUACACACACACGUUGAAGAAGUCUUGUGGAAUGUACGUCGCGUUUAACGCAAUACAAUA